rnacentral:tRNA from 1 species
ACUAUUUUGGCAGAAAAAUGUAUUAAAUUUAGGAUUUAAUAAUAUAUAUUUAUAAAUAUAUAAGUAGUA